rnacentral:rRNA from 1 species
AUGCCUACGGGGGGCAGCAGUGGGGAAUAUUGCACAAUGGGGGAAACCCUGAUGCAGCGACGCCGCGUGAGUGAAGAAGUAUUUCGGUAUGUAAAGCUCUCUCAGCAGGGAAGAAAAUGACAGUACCUGACCAAGAAGCCCCGGCUAACUACGUGCCAGCAGCCGCGGUAAUACGUAGGGGGCAAGCGUUAUCCGGAUUUACUGGGUGUAAAGGGAGCGUAGGCGGCUGUGUAAGCCAGAAGUGAAAGCCCGAGGCUC